rnacentral:rRNA from 1 species
GUGCCAGCCGCCGCGGUAAGACGAGGGAUCCUAGCGUUGUUCGGAAUCAUUGGGCGUAAAGCGGGUGUAGGUGGAUCUAUAAGUCAGGUGUGAAAUCCCAGGGCUCAACCCUGGAAGUGCACUUGAUACUGUAGAUCUUGAGUGUGGUAGAGGUUACUGGAAUUGUUGGUGUAGUGGUGAAAUACGUAGAUAUCAACAGGAAUACCGGAGGCGAAGGCGAGUAACUGGGCCAACACUGACACUGAGACCCGAAAGCGUGGGGAUCAAACAGGAUUAGAUACCCUGGUAGUCCACGCUGUAAACGAUGGAUACUUGUUGUUAGAGGUAUUGACCCCUCUAGUGACGUAGCUAACGCGUUAAGUAUCCCGCCUGGGGAGUACGGUCGCAAGAUUAAAACUCAAAUAAAUUGACGG